ensembl:snoRNA
GAGCUAUGAGGAGGCUAUAAAAUGUGCUGACCUACAUCUGGAGACUGUCAGAUCCAACUCUGAGCUCACUCUGUCU